AGGGAUGGGGCAAAGGCGUGGUUUUGGUGAAUGACUUCAACAUCGGUCGGUACUGGUCCGCCGGGCCUCAACAGACCCUAUACCUUCCAGGGCCUCUCCUGCGUAAGGGAGACAAUCAGAUCGUUUGGUUCGAACAGGAGCGCAUUGGACAGGACAUCAUAUUUACUGACCGGCCAAUCUUGGAUGUGAACAACCAAUCUACUAUAACACUUGAUUGAAACAUCCUUAUAUGAUAUUGUGACAAUUAAGAAAAUGUUAAAAAGGAAGCCGAAUAGCCAUAAUUGUUUUGGUUGAAUAUGUCUCUGAUGUUGCACCAGACAAUACCGAAAUGGGCAGAUAGAUAUCUUUAGAAAAGGUGUCUAUUCUUGUUUGGUGAUUUUCUUUCUUGUAUUACAUUUUUUCGGAAAACCAUUCUUUAUAAUAUCUUGAACUAGGCCAAAACUUAAUUGCAUCUGUAUAUUGCAAGUUAAGAGUGGACGAUUUCUAUACGGAUUCUAAUCUACACUUGUAAUGUAUUGCAACUGUAUUGCAACUGAAAUAAACACGUUUAAAGUUAGGAAAAUGUUAAAACGAAGUGCUAAUAAAUAACAAUCAAU